AGGUGGUCCUUUUGUGCUUUCCCUUGCACACAAACACAAAGUGAACUUUCUUCUGUGAUCAGGGCACUCUUCUUGUUAUGGAUCAGAUAGGAUACAAUGCUGGUCGCACACCAUUCACAGACAUCUCAAACACCAUCAUUACAGGUAAUCAAAAUGAAUCGAACUCGCUUGGACCAAUUGUCGAUGCUAAGGAACGUAAGAGGCAAAGGGAUAGGGAAAGAUAUGCUGCGAUGACUGUUGAAGAAAAGAAUGAGAAAAAUAGGAAGCGUCGUGAAGCACGUCAACGAAAUAAAGGACUAUCGAUAGAGCCACUCUCAUCUAUAGGUGAUGAAAAGUUAAUUUUUUAAUUGUUAUACCUACAUGUGUGUACUAUACAAAGUUGAUGUGUUGCCUUUUGUAAAUGGGUGAUAUAUGAAGAAGACGUUAAUACGGACCAGGCAUGUGAGGUGGUUAGCUUUCCAGAUGACUGUAGCACCAUUGAUUUCACAAAUUUGUCAA